UCCCCACUGAGCCUCAAGGCAGGAGAGCAGGGGUGGUGGGGGCCAGCUGAAAACCAGCCCCGAGCUUGCAAUGGGUGCAGUCGUGCUCCUGGGUCUUCUUGAGCAUCGUGGCCUUGAUGAAAAGCGCUUGACAAAUGACUGUAGGAAGGAGCUGAGCCUGAAGACCCGGGCACAGAUGUGUUGGGAUUUACACUGCUCAGCUCCUGCCUGCCUUGCCAGAAGAAAGUCCCCACCAGGCUGGCCCGAUCCAGGCUCUGGGCCAUCUCCUAAAUCAGGCUAUCUGUCUUGGAGAAGAUCAGAAGAGGGGGAUGCUCCAGGGCAAGAUGGCAUUGUGCAGUUGGGAGCAGUAAGGCAUGAAGUCUAGGAUUGCCUCCAGCCUUGGGAGCCCACAGAUGGUGGAAAUGGGCUGAGCCUGUGGGAUGGGUACCUGUGUUGCAAGAAACUCUGAGUGUUGGUGGUAACAGGGGUGAUGGUGCUAGGAGGGGAGGGGAAGGUUGAAUUAAUCUCAUGUAGAAGGCCUAACGAGGAGACAGGCUGUGCUUACUGAUGGCUUUCUGAGGUAGUCUUCCUUCAUCCUGAGUGUUAGUGCCGAGGACUUCCAAUCCAGGAGAAAAAAGUAAGGAGAUGGUGGAUGGACCGCUCCUGUCCAACCUUGCACUAAACGUCUUGUGUGCUGGAAACAUGAAAAGCCUCAAAGUUUCUCUAGAGAUGUGUUCAGAAGAUGUUUCUGGGAGAGGACUCUCUCCAGUGAUAUAACAAGCUGCAGUUUGCUUCAAACUUUAAGUAUUAUAAAUGUGGCUGAUGUAAUUCUAUUUCAAAAAGCCUUAGAGGCUUGCAGUAAUAAACAGAGCCUUUUAGU